AAAGUGCUGGGAUUACAGGCGUAAGCCACCGCAUCCAGCCACAGCUAAUCUUUUUUUUGUUUGUUUUUUUGAGACGGAGUUUUUGCUCGUUGCCCAGGCUGGAGUGCAAUGGCGCAAUCUCUGCUCACUGCAACCUCCGCCUCCUGUAUUCAUGUGAUUCUCCUGCCUCAGCCUCCCGAGUAGCUGGGAUUACAGGAGCCUGCCACCAUCUGCAGCAAAAUUUUUAUCUGUAGGAGAGACGCGGUUUCUCCAUGUUGGUUAGGCUGGUCUCGAACUCCCGACCUCAGGUGAUCCAUCCGCUUCAGCCUCCCAAAGUGCUGGGAUUACAGGCGUAAGCCACCAUGCUCACCCACACAAGUUUUAAUUUUUAUGAAUUCCAAUUUUUCUCUUUUGUUCCUUAUCCUUUUGGCAUCGUAAUCAAGAAGACUUUGCCUACCUCAUGGUCACAGAGAUUUAGGUUUUCAUCUGACAGUUUUAUAGUUUUACAAUUAGGUCUUACAAUUAGGUCUACGAUUUACUUGCUUAGUUAUUAACAUAUUAAGUAACAAGUUCUAGCAGUGGGUCUAAUAACUUCUGUGAUUUUGGAGACGAGUAUACGUGCUAUUUUGAGGCUGGGCGCGGUGGCUCAUGCCUGUAAUCCCAGCACUUUGGGAGGCCAAGGUGGGCGGAUCACGACGUCAGGAGUUCGACACCAGUCUGGCCAACAUGGUGAAACCCCAUCUCUACUAAAAACACAAAAAUUAGCUGGGCGUGGUGGUGGGUGCCUGUGAUCCCAGCUACUCAGAGCCUGAGGGAGGAAAAUAGUUGGAACCCGGGAGGUUGCACUGAGCUGAGAUCAUGCCACUGCACUCCAGCCUGGGCGACAGAACAAGACUCUGUCUCAAAAAAUAAAAUAAAAAUAAAAUAAAUAAAUAAAUGCUAUUUUGAGAUAUUUCCAGUGACUGCAAUGUGUUGAGAUGGAAUAUCACCUACAUUCAUAAGUGAAGAAAAUGCUGGAUUUUGGUUAAAGGUUGAUUUUUUUUUUGAGACAGGGGUCUUGCUGGAGGCCUCAAAGUACCUGGGAUUAUAAGUGAGUGCCACCGCACUUGGUGUUAAAGGUUAAUUUAAAUAAAGAUGUAUUUACCAGCUCUGGUUCAUGGUCUCCAGAAUUCUAUCCAUGGAUUCCAGGUUCAGAACUCUUAGGAUGGCUAAAAUUCCAGCCUGAAGUCUCAGUUUUCCAAUAGUCCUUUGGGGGCUUGAAACCUCCCAGGAAUGGCUUUAGGGUGUUUUCCUGACACUUCCCAGCCCUGGCCCAUACCCUGCCCUCUGCCUGGCUCCAUUCUUGGGAAAGGAAUUCCUUGCCAAACAGAAUUUUCUAACAAGCCCAAAUAUAGUAAUAAUAAUAAUUAGCAGCAGGAAGAACUAUAAACACUGGGGUAGGAAAGCCUGUACCCGUCUCUCCUUUUCCUGAUCCCUUCCCUUCAUUCCUGAACUGAAGGAGACGGAGCCCCUUUGGGCUUUGAUGACUCCAUCACUGGGGUAUGUUCAUUUGAUGGUUGAUUUUGCUGUACCAGGUACUUCCUUUCCCAUUUUCUAAUCAUUUUAUAACACAUGCUGACUCUUUUCCCUUCCCUUUUUCUGGGAAAAUACAAUGAAUACAAAAUUAUAAACACUGUAUGUUUAGCAUCAGACCAAGCAUGUUGCAGACACCCUUGCCCCUGGCCGUCCCAGAAUCCCUGGGGCAACUCUGGCCUUGGUUAAGAGGCUCCAUAGCUCCUGGCUUAGCUGUGCCCCGGCUCCUCCCCUCAUAUCAUGCCUGAUCCUAGGAAGAUAUUUCACUUCUGGGUGCCUCAGCUUUCUCAUCUAUAAGGGUGGGGUAUGAGAUGGUCAUGGUCAUAGUUUUUGUUUUUUUUUAGGGUGGGGGGACGAGAUGGUCAUAGGGUCACAGUUUUUUUUUUUGUUUUUGUUUUAUACAGACGGGAUCUCGCUAUGUCACCGGGCGCCAUGGCUCAAGCCUGUAAUCCCAGCACUUUGGAAGUCCGAGGCGGGCGGAUCACGAGGCCAGGAGUUCAAGACCAGCCUGGCCAAUAUGGUGAAACCCCGUCUCUACUAAAAAUACAAAAAUU
rnacentral:lncRNA from 10 species